rnacentral:rRNA from 1 species
AUUGAACGCUGGCGGCAGGCCUAACACAUGCAAGUCGAGCGGAUGAAGGGAGCUUGCUCCUGGAUUCAGCGGCGGACGGGUGAGUAAUGCCUAGGAAUCUGCCUGGUAGUGGGGGAUAACGUCCGGAAACGGGCGCUAAUACCGCAUACGUCCUGAGGGAGAAAGUGGGGGAUCUUCGGACCUCACGCUAUCAGACGAGCCUAGGUCGGAUUAGCUAGUUGGUGGGGUAAAGGCCUACCAAGGCGACGAUCCGUAACUGGUCUGAGAGGAUGAUCAGUCACACUGGAACGGAGACACGGUCCAGACUCCUACGGGAGGCAGCAGUGGGGAAUAUUGGACAAUGGGCGAAAGCCUGAUCCAGCCAUGCCGCGUGUGUGAAGAAGGUCUUCGGAUUGUAAAGCACUUUAAGUUGGGAGGAAGAGCAGUAAGUUAAUACCUUGCUGUUUUGACGGUACCAACAGAAUAAGCACCGGCUAACUUCGUG